UUUUCCAAAUAGUCCAUAACUGCUACAUCGUAAAACUGCGAAAGUUUGGCAUAUUUACCAUCAAGAUAAUAUCUGGAAGAAAACAGGAACGUUUAAGAAGCUGUUUCAGGGGGACUACUAAACUGAUUUCAGGCUUUGCUGGGUUUAAAAGCCUACAGUCAAAGGGGACGUAACUCUCAUUUUCUUUCCCUUCUUUAUCUGA